GACGAACCGUCCUAACGUUGUUCGGAAUCACGUGGCUUAAAGGGCGCGUAGGCGGCUUGCCAAGUCAGGGGUGAAAUCCUGCAGCUUAACUGUAGAAGGGCCUUUGAUACUGGCGAGCUCGAGGGAGGUAGGGGUAUGUGGAACUUCCGGUGGAGCGGUGAAAUGCGUAGAUAUCUGGAGGAACACCGGUGGCGAAGGCGGCAUCCUGGACCGAGAUUGACGCUGAGGCGCGAAAGCCAGGGGAGCAAACGGG
rnacentral:rRNA from 1 species